rnacentral:rRNA from 1 species
GACGAACGCUGGCGGCGUGCUUAACACAUGCAAGUCGAACGGUAAGGCCCUUCGGGGUACACGAGUGGCGAACGGGUGAGUAAUACGUGGGUGAUCUGCCCUGCACUUCGGGAUAAGCCUGGGAAACUGGGUCUAAUACCGGAUAGGACCACUGCCUGCAUGGGGGGUGGUGGAAAGCUUUUGCGGUGUGGGAUGGGCCCGCGGCCUAUCAGCUUGUUGGUGGGGUGAUGGCCUACCAAGGCGACGACGGGUAGCCGGCCUGAGAGGGUGACCGGCCACACUGGGACUGAGAUACGGCCCAGACUCCUACGGGAGGCAGCAGUGGGGAAUAAUGCACAAUGGGCGCAAGCCUGAUGCAGCGACGCCGCGUGAGGGAUGACGGCCUUCGGGUUGUAAACCUCUUUCAGCACCGACGAAGCGCAAGUGACGGUAGGUGCAGAAGAAGGACCGGCCAACUACGUGCCAGCCGCCGCCGUAA